UACGUAGGGGGCAAGCGUUGUCCGGAUUCAUUGGGCGUAAAGCGCGUGUAGGCGGCCAUGCAGGUCAGCUGUGAAAACUUGAGGCUCAACCUCGAGACGUCGGCUGAAACCGUUUGGCUAGAGUCCGGAAGAGGAGAGUGGAAUUCCUGGUGUAGCGGUGAAAUGCGCAGAUAUCAGGAAGAACACCCGUGGCGAAGGCGGCUCUCUGGUACGGUACUGACGCUGAGACGCAAAAGCGUGGGGAGCGAACAGG
rnacentral:rRNA from 1 species